rnacentral:rRNA from 1 species
CGAUGAAGAACGCAGCAAAGCGCGAUAGGUAGUGUGAAUUGCAGAAUUCCGCGAAUCAUCGAAUCUUUGAACGCAUAUUGCGCCUGAGCCUCCUGGCUUGGGCAUGUCUGCCUCAGCGUCGGUU